rnacentral:tRNA from 1 species
GCCGCCGUAGCUCAGCCCGGUAGAGCGCCGGCCUUGUAAGCCCGAAGAGACCAAGGAACUAAUUCAGGCCCGUACAAUACAUAGGCCGGGAGAGCCGGUGGUCGCGGGUUCAAAUCCCGCCGGCGGCU